rnacentral:rRNA from 1 species
CAGCUUUUAAAAGGCGGCGUAAAGCUGUCGCUAUGGGGAUGGGCCCCGCGGUGCAUUAGUCUAGUUGGUAAGGUAAAGGCGUUACCAAGGGCGAUGAUGCAUAGCCCGAGUUGAGAGACUGAUCGGCCACAUUGGGGACUGAGACACGGCCCAAACUCCUACGGGAGGCAGCAGUAGGGAAUCUUCCACAAUGGACGCAAGUCUGAUGGAGCAAACGCCGCGUGAGUGAAGAAGGUUUCGGAUCGUAAAGCUCUGUUGUUGGUGAAGAAGGAUAGAGGUAGUAACUGGCCCUUUAUUUGACGGUAAUCAACCAGAAAGUCACGGGCUAACUACGUGCCAGCAGCCGCGGUAAAU